rnacentral:rRNA from 1 species
UACGUAGGGGGCAAGCGUUGUCCGGAUUCACUGGGCGUAAAGCGCGUGUAGGCGGCGCGUUAAGUCGGGUGUGAAAGCCCGGGGCUCAACCCCGGGAUGCCGCUCGAAACUGGCGCGCUUGAGGACGGAAGAGGGGAGUGGAAUUCCUGGUGUAGCGGUGAAAUGCGUAGAGAUCAGGAGGAACACCCGUGGCGAAGGCGGCUCCCUGGUCCGUCCCUGACGCUGAGACGCGAAAGCGCGGGGAGCGAACGGG